UUUGCCCCAAUUCAUUGUCACUCGCCAAACAGACCAAGGAAUUAUAUGUAUAAUCACCACAAAGAAAUCAACAGCUGAACAGGGGAGAUGCAAACAUCAGUGCAAUUACUAAUUCAAUCAAGAUUGAAAUCAAUUCUUCCCCACGAAACUGAAAUCAAUAACUGAUAUCAUCAAUAAGGCUUGAUGGAUGAAAAUGAUAUCACACCAAAAGCCACCAAAACCCUACGAUUUCAAUCCCAUAAAUCCGAUCAAUUCUCCCUCUCCAGCACUUGGACCCGCCGAUCGAGUAUCUCUUCUAGAAGUGACACCGUUCCUCUAAUAAACAAGAUGCUGUGUUGUGUUAGCAUAAAGAUAUCACGCAGUUUUAAGGGGUGUUUGGAUGCACUAUUAAAUCGGUAACGGUUGUUUGGAGUUGCAAUUAUCAGUCUUGAGUAUGACUAUUGAGAGAAAUGUAGAUUUACCGUUGUUUCGCCGGCCACCGGCGCUGCUGCUCCGCCGCCGGUCUCAAGACAAAACCCGCAUUACCUGCCCUUGAGUGUCUUGUUCAUUCAAAUGAUGAAGAGGUGUUGAGUGAUGCUUGUGGACUAUGGUAUAAAUAACAAUUUUAGCUGUCAUUGAGGAUCAAAAGCCUAACAAUACAAAAGUGACGGGCCGCUACUACUAAAUCUUCAUGGAAUGCACCUGCUACUUUUCUAGAGAUGGUUGGGUCGGGUAAUGGGUAUUUUUUGUGCUGGUCAAGAUGGGGUGAGUUAGGUUUGGGACGACCUGCAAAUGCUUCCUUUUUCUUUUCUUGUUCUUUCUUUUCAUGAUCAUUGUUGGCAAACCAUCUGGCUGAAUUAGUGACAUGAUCCAUGAUAAUAAGAGCUUUUCAUCAAGAAGAACGAUUCUUUGCCAAAAAUUGUGAAGUUGUUAAUAAUAAUGCAAGUCCUUGCACAGUUUUGCUGCAAAUAAUUGGUUGAUCCAACGGCUAGAAGCAAUCAGUGCAACCGUUUUAUCAGCUUCAGAACUCUACAUGGUGUUGCUUCCUCCUGGAACUUUCAGUUCUGGAUAUAGAGAAGGAAAUGAAAAGAAGUGAGAAUCCUGACUCUAUGGAUGCGGAUGAAGAGGAGGUGGCAGAGAUUAAGGCGGCCCACUUUGAGGAUAUGCUUGCAGAAGUGUGAGUGACGUUGACAUAAGGAAAUACCAAGCAUUUGCUUAGACGCUGCAGCAGUCUCGAGGAUUUGGGUUGGAAUUUCGGCUUCCUAAAUCAACAUCUUGGACUGGUGGUGGUGAUGAUUCUGACCCAUUUGCCGCCCAUGCUGGCGAUGCUGAUGAUGAUGACUUGUACAGCUAGAUUUACAUAAAUCAUGUUGUUGAAGUGAAGAUUCAUGAGGAAUUAUACGUUUUAUAUCCUAUACCAGUUGCCAAUUUACUCAUGGUUUUUAAACCUACUUUAUUAAUAUGGCUUAUGCUUUUGUUGUUGGAACUUGUAUUCACGUUUCUUGUUAUGAAUUUGGAUUCAGC
rnacentral:lncRNA from 1 species